rnacentral:rRNA from 1 species
GACGAACGCUGGCGGCGUGCUUAACACAUGCAAGUCGAACGGAAAGGCCCCUUUGGGGGUACUCGAGUGGCGAACGGGUGAGUAACACGUGAGUAACCUGCCCUUGACUUCGGGAUAACUUCAGGAAACUGGGGCUAAUACCGGAUAGGAAUCCUUGCUGCAUGGUGGGGGUUGGAAAGCUUCGGCGGUUUUGGAUGGACUCGCGGCUUAUCAGCUUGUUGGUGGGGUAGUGGCUUACCAAGGCUUUGACGGGUAGCCGGCCCGAGAGGGAGACGGGACACAUAGGGAGUGAGAUUCGGCCCAGACUAAUACGGGAGGCAGCAGUGGCGAAUAUUGCAAGAUGGGCAGAGGCAUGAUGCAGAAACGCCGCGUGCGGGAGAACAGUAUUCGUGUUGUAAACCGCUGUCAGCAGGGGCAAAGCUUGUGAUGACGGUACCUGCAGAAGAAGCACCGGCUAACUACGUG